UCAGACGAUGCGUCAUGCAUAUCAAUAAGCGGAGGAAAAGAAACUAACAAGGACUCCCUUAGUAACGGCGAGUGAAGCGGGAAGAGCUCAAAUUUGAAAUCUUCAAGGUUUUACCUUGACGAAUUGUAGUUUAAAGAAGUGUUUUCUGCUGAAGUUUUGGUAAAAGUUCUUUGGAAUAGGACAUCAUAGAGGGUGAGAAUCCCGUAUUUGACCAUUAUUUUCAGCUUUGUGAUACACUUUCAAAGAGUCGGAUUGUUUGGGAAUGCAGUCCAAAAUGGGUGGUAAAUUUCAUCUAAAGCUAAAUAUUGGCGAGAGACCGAUAGCGAACAAGUACCGUGAGGGAAAGAUGAAAAGAACUUUGAAAAGAGAGUUAAACAGUACGUGAAAUUGUCAAAAGGGAAGCGUUUAACACCAGUGUUGUUUUCUGAAAAUCAACCUCUGUUAGCUUUAUGCAUGUUUGUUUAGACCUAAUCAGCUAUCUUGCAUGUUCUAUUGUUUGCAGUGGUGCACUUUUCAGUUUACAGGUCAACAUCAGUUUUUUUUACCGUAAAAAAGUUAAAGAAAGGUAGCUCAUGGCUCCGGUCGUGAGUGUUAUAGUCUUUUUCCUAUGCGGUAGGAGAGACCGAGGUCUGCAGUGUAGGCUAUUUGGCUAGAUACUCAGGUGCUAUGUGAUACCAUUUCAUAAACAACUUGUUGAUUAUGUUUUGUCUAUUGCAUACUCGCUUGUACUAUCAUACCUACGCUUAGGAUGUUGACUGAUAUGUAGUCGUA
rnacentral:rRNA from 1 species